UACGGAGGGAGCUAGCGUUGUUCGGAAUUACUGGGCGUAAAGCGUGCGCAGGCGGUUUUCCAAGUCAGUGGUGAAAGCCCGGAGCUCAACUCCGGAAUUGCCAUUGAAACUGUGAAACUUGAGGACGAGAGAGGUGAGUGGAAUUCCCAGUGUAGAGGUGAAAUUCGUAGAUAUUGGGAAGAACACCGGUGGCGAAGGCGGCUCACUGGCUCGUUUCUGACGCUCAGGCACGACAGCGUGGGGAUCAAACAGG
rnacentral:rRNA from 1 species